UACGGGGGGGGCAAGCGGUUGUUCGGAAUUACUGGGCGUAAAGGGCGCGUAGGCGGUUCGCUAAGUUGGAUGUGAAAACUCUGGGCUCAACCCAGAGCCUGCAUCCAAAACUGGCGGGCUAGAGUUCUGGAGGGGGUAGCGGAAUUCCUGAGUGUAGCGGUGAAAUGCGUAGAUAUCUGGAGGAAUACCGGUGGCGAAGGCGGCAUCCUGGACCGGCAUUGACGCUGAGGAGCGAAAGCUAGGGGAGCAAACGGG
rnacentral:rRNA from 1 species